AUGAACGCUGGCGGCGUGCCUAAUACAUGCAAGUCGAGCGAACGGACGAGAAGCUUGCUUUUCUGAUGUUAGCGGCGGACGGGUGAGUAACACGUGGAUAACCUACCUAUAAGACUGGGAUAACUUCGGGAAACCGGAGCUAAUACCGGAUAAUAUUUUGAACCGCAUGGUUCAAAAGUGAAAGACGGUCUUGCUGUCACUUAUAGAUGGAUCCGCGCUGCAUUAGCUAGUUGGUAAGGUAACGGCUUACCAAGGCAACGAUGCAUAGCCGACCUGAGAGGGUGAUCGGCCACACUGGAACUGAGACACGGUCCAGACUCCUACGGGAGGCAGCAGUAGGGAAUCUUCCGCAAUGGGCGAAAGCCUGACGGAGCAACGCCGCGUGAGUGAUGAAGGUCUUUGGAUCGUAAAACUCUGUUAUUAGGGAAGAACAUAUGUGUAAGUAACUGUGCACAUCUUGACGGUACCUAAUCAGAAAGCCACGGCUAACUACGUG
rnacentral:rRNA from 1 species